rnacentral:tRNA from 1 species
GCCUGGCUGGCUCAGUCAGAGGAGCAUAUGACUCUUGAUCUUGGGGUUAAGGGUUCGAGACCCAUGUUGGGUG